rnacentral:rRNA from 1 species
GAUGAACGCUGGCGGCGUGCCUAAUACAUGCGAGUCGAGCGAACGGACGAGAAGCUUGCUUCUCUGAUGUUAGCGGCGGACGGGUGAGUAACGCGUGGAUAACCUACCUAUAAGACUGGGAUAACUUCGGGAAACCGUAGCUAAUACCGGAUAAUAUUUUGAACCGCAUGGUUCAAAAGUGAAAGACGGUCUUGCUGUCACUUAUAGAUGGAUCCGCGCUGCAUUAGCUAGUUGGUAAGGUAACGGCUUACCAAGGCAACGAUGCAUAGCCGACCUGAGAGGGUGAUCGGCCACACUGGAACUGAGACACGGUCCAGACUCCUACGGGAGGCAGCAGUAGGGAAUCUUCCGCAAUGGGCGAAAGCCUGACGGAGCAACGCCGCGUGAGUGAUGAAGGUCUUCGGAUCGUAAAACUCUGUUAUUAGGGAAGAACAUAUGUGUAAGUAACUGUGCACAUCUUGACGGUACCUAAUCAGAAAGCCACGGCUAACUACGUG